rnacentral:rRNA from 1 species
UACGAAGGGUGCAAGCGUUACUCGGAAUUACUGGGCGUAAAGCGUGCGUAGGUGGUUGUUUAAGUCUGUUGUGAAAGCCCUGGGCUCAACCUGGGAACUGCAGUGGAAACUGGACGACUAGAGUGUGGUAGAGGGUAGCGGAAUUCCUGGUGUAGCAGUGAGAUGCGUAGAGAUCAGGAGGAACAUCCAUGGCGAAGGCAGCUACCUGGACCAACACUGACACUGAGGCACGAAAGCGUGGGGAGCAAACAGG